rnacentral:rRNA from 1 species
GACAGAGGUCCCGAGCGUUAGGCGGAAUCACUGGGCUUAAAGCGUGUGUAGGCGGAUCGUUAAGUACCUUGUGAAAUCCCACGGCUUAACCGUGGAACUGCUUGGUAUACUGGCGAUCUUGAGCCACUUAGGGGCUACCGGAACAAAUGGUGGAGCGGUGAAAUGCGUAGAUAUCAGGAGGAACACCUGUGGUGUAGACAGCUUGCUGGACCAUUUCUGACACUGAGACACGAAAGCGUGGGUAGCAAACAGG